UACUCCAACGGUUCUGUUGGGGUUCCUGAAGGAGAUCCGUCCUGAACAAUGGUCUCCCAUAGCUACCAGCCCACUCUAAGAAUGCAAAGCCCCAGAGUAGCACUGGAUCCCUUUAAAGCAGUCCCCAGAUAAUUGUGGUUUGGGCCAAGACGACAUAAAACAAGCCAGCACAAGGGGAGCUGGCUUGAAGUCUGUAAGAUGAGAAAGCACUUGCAAUGGCUGGGGAGCCUCAGCACCGGCUCUUACAUUCAGAACUUCAUGGGAUCAAACAACAGUGAUGGGAGGUGAGACCAGAGCUCAAGACACACCCAGAGCUAAGGAGCAUCCUGUCUCCCAUAUUUGCUGACUACUGUACUUUGUGAACUGCAGUCACUCUAAGGUGCCCUUUCUGCCAGGCGUGGCAUGGCCUUGGUAGGGACAGAAUGACAUGGUUCCUGCCCCUGGGAGAAGGCCAGCAGGUAUGGGCCUCCACAAGUGUCAAUAAUGAUUACUGUGGCUGUAAGGCUUGCUUGUAUAAUAAUGCACAUAUUUCAUAUUCCUCCUUCAAGAAGUGUCCUCCCUGUUAAUGUUAAGGACUCCAUGAUAAUCAGAGACAGUCUCGGCAAAAUGGUGAAUGCUGGGACCUUCAAGACAGCCUUUAAACCUGCAAGGGGCGGACUCUAAAAACGUGUUCAAAAAUAAAUAAU